AGCGAACGCUGGCGGCAGGCCUAAUACAUGCAAGUCGAACGGAUCCUUCGGGAUUAGUGGCGGACGGGUGAGUAACACGUGGGAACGUGCCCUUUGGUUCGGAACAACUCAGGGAAACUUGAGCUAAUACCGGAUAAGCCCUUCGGGGAAGGAUUAUCGCCAUUGGAGCGGCCCGCGUCUGAUUAGCUAGUUGGUGGGGUAAAGGCCGUACCAAGGCGACGAUCAGUAGCUGGUCUGAGAGGAUGAUCAGCCACACUGGGACUGAGACACCGGCCCAGACUCCUACGGGAGGCAGCAGUAGGGAAUCUUGCGCAAUGGGCGAAAGCCUGACGCAGCCAUGCCGCGUGAAUGAUGAA
rnacentral:rRNA from 1 species